rnacentral:lncRNA from 1 species
AAAUAUGACACCUUGGUAGUACAUGCAGAAGGGAUUACAGAAUAGAAAACCCAUAAUUUUUCAACCUACAAUGUAAUUAUUGAUUUAGACAAGGAUCAUCAAUGGGUGAUAAAAUGUGAAAUACACAAAUAUUACCUGCGAAGUAUUUUUGCCAAAAGUCUUCAAGCUUAAUCUUGUCAAGCCUUUAGACUAAAUUGUAAUUUAUAGGAAAUGCAGAGGUAGAGGUACAAGUUAAAUGACACUAUGAGGAAACAAUCAGACAAAUCUAAAAUGUAAACAUUUUAAAAGAAAACUGUCCUGAGUCUUCAAAAAUAUCAGUGUCAUGAAUAAACAAGCAAAGGUGGGAGAACUGAUCUAGAUUAAAGGAAUUAAGAGUCUAGGUGGGGCGUGGUGACUCAUGCCUGUUAUCUCAGCACUUUGGGAGGCUGAGGUGA